AUUGAACGCUAGCUGUAUGCCUUACACAUGCAAGUCGAACGGCAGCGCGGACUUCGGUCUGGCGGCGAGUGGCGAACGGGUGAGUAAUGUAUCGGAACGUGCCCAGUAGCGGGGGAUAACUACUCGAAAGAGUAGCUAAUACCGCAUACGCCCUACGGGGGCAAGGGGAGGGUGGCAAGACCACCCACUCUUGGAGCGGCCGAUAUCGGAUUAGCUAGUUGGUGAGGUAAAGGCUCAACAAGGCGACGAUCCGUAGCUGGCUUGAGCGGACGCCCCGCCACACUGGGACUGAGACACGGCCCAGACGCCUCCGGGAGGCAGCAGUGGGGAAUUUUGGAAAAUGGGGGCAACCCUGAUCCAGCCAUGCCGCGUGUGCGAUGAAGGCCUUCGGGUUGUAAAGCCCUUUUGGCAGGAAAGCAAUCGCACGGAUUAAUACUCUGUGUGGAUGACGGUACCUGCAGAAUAAGCACCGGCUAACUACGUGCCAGCAGCCGCCGUAA
rnacentral:rRNA from 1 species